rnacentral:miRNA from 1 species
UUGAAGGUUUUGUGAGAAAUGUUUGAGGAAACUGACUUAAUGUUAAACACUGAUUCAGUUUCCUCAAACAUUUCUUACAAAUCUUUCAA